UUUUUUUAGUGCUUUGAGUAAGUAGAAAAUUGUUUAAAAUUUUUACCAAACAUCUCAAAAUGAUGCAAAAGAAUCUUUAAUCCUCUGAGAAGUGCUUUUUAGCCCCUAAAAAAUGCUAAAUUGGGCCUCAGAGGAUGAUGAAAGUUGACAUAACAUGAAAAACCGAGAGAGAUAAAGAAAGUUGAUGGAUAGUAUCAGUCAUAUCAACCAAGAC
rnacentral:lncRNA from 1 species